UGGAGAUGGAAACGAGAAGAACUUUCUCUGAGAUGAUUUGAGAUUUCGAUGGCGAAGCGGAACAAGUUUGCAGGACCAAUCACAUGGUCGCAGCAGGAAACCAGCUAAUCCUCACCUCCUCCUCCCCUGAGCCCGAGCCCGCCAAAUUAGGAAUUCAGUGCCGCCAUAAGAUGGAGAAGUUCCGUUAUCACUACGGCUUCGAGCUCCCCCAUGCCUCUUCCUCUAAUUGGCCCU
rnacentral:lncRNA from 1 species